UACGUAGGGUGCGAGCGUUAAUCGGAAUUACUGGGCGUAAAGAGCUCGUAGGCGGUUCGUCGCGUCGGCUGUGAAAUCCCGAGGCUCAACCUCGGGUCUGCAGUCGAUACGGGCGGACUGGAGUUCGGCAGGGGAGACUGGAAUUCCUGGUGUAGCGGUGAAAUGCGCAGAUAUCAGGAGGAACACCGGUGGCGAAGGCGGGUCUCUGGGCCGAUACUGACGCUGAGGAGCGAAAGCGUGGGGAGCGAACAGG
rnacentral:rRNA from 1 species